rnacentral:rRNA from 1 species
AACGAACGCUGGCGGCAUGCCUAACACAUGCAAGUCGAACGAGACCUUCGGGUCUAGUGGCGCACGGGUGCGUAACGCGUGGGAACCUGCCCUUAGGUUCGGAAUAACUCCCCGAAAGGGGUGCUAAUACCGGAUAAUGUCUUCGGACCAAAGAUUUAUCGCCUUUGGAUGGGCCCGCGUUUGAUUAGCUAGUUGGUAGGGUAAAAGCCUACCAAGGCGACGAUCCAUAGCUUGUCUGAGAGGAUGAUCAGCCACACUGGGACUGAGACACGGCCCAGACUCCUACGGGAGGCAGCGGUGGGGAAUAUUGGACAAUGGGCGAGAGCCUGAUCCAGCAAUGCCGCGUGAGUGAUGAAGGCCUUAGGGUUGUAAAGCUCUUUUACCCGGGAUGAUAAUGACAGUACCGGGAGAAUAAGCUCCGGCUAACUCCGUG